UACGUAUGGUCCGAGCGUUGUCCGGAAUGACUGGGCGUAAAGGGUGUGUAGGCUGACACGUGUGUCAGGUGUGAAAUUCCUAGGCUUAACCUGGGAACUGCGCUUGAAACUGCGUGUCUAGAGCAUGUUAGGGGUAAGUGGAAUUCCCGGAGUAGCGGUGAAAUGCGUAGAGAUCGGGAAGAACACCAGUGGCGAAGGCGACUUACUGGGACAUGGCUGACGCUGAGGCACGAAAGCGUGGGGAGCGAACGGG
rnacentral:rRNA from 1 species